CUGAAUCAGUGUGUGUGUUAGUGGAAGCGUCUGGAAAGGCGUGCGAUACAGGGUGACAGCCCCGUACACAAAAAUGCACAUAUUGUGAGCUCGAUGAGUAGGGCGGGACACGUGGUAUCCUGUCUGAAUAUGGGGGGACCAUCCUCCAAGGCUAAAUACUCCUGACUGACCGAUAGUGAACCAGUACCGUGAGGGAAAGGCGAAAAGAACCCCGGCGAGGGGAGUGAAAAAGAACCUGAAACCGUGUACGUACAAGCAGUGGGAGCCUCUUAAUGGGGUGACUGCGUACCUUUUGUAUAAUGGGUCAGCGACUUAUAUUCUGUAGCAAGGUUAACCGAAUAGGGGAGCCGAAGGGAAACCGAGUCUUAACUGGGCGUUAAGUUGCAGGGUAUAGACCCGAAACCCGGUGAUCUAGCCAUGGGCAGGUUGAAGGUUGGGUAACACUAACUGGAGGACCGAACCGACUAAUGUUGAAAAAUUAGCGGAUGACUUGUGGCUGGGGGUGAAAGGCCAAUCAAACCGGGAGAUAGCUGGUUCUCCCCGAAAGCUAUUUAGGUAGCGCCUCGUGAAUUCAUCUCCGGGGGUAGAGCACUGUUUCGGCAAGGGGGUCAUCCCGACUUACCAACCCGAUGCAAACUGCGAAUACCGGAGAAUGUUAUCACGGGAGACACACGGCGGGUGCUAACGUCCGUCGUGAAGAGGGAAACAACCCAGACCGCCAGCUAAGGUCCCAAAGUCAUGGUUAAGUGGGAAACGAUGUGGGAAGGCCCAGACAGCCAGGAUGUUGGCUUAGAAGCAGCCAUCAUUUAAAGAAAGCGUAAUAGCUCACUGGUCGAGUCGGCCUGCGCGGAAG
rnacentral:rRNA from 1 species